AAACUUUUGGUUUUAUGGUUUUUCCUUUUGGUUUAAAUCAGUCAAUUCCAUAGUUACAUUAGCCUGCAUCCCUAUGUUACAAUUGCAAGCAAUGCUGUGUUACUGGACAACAGAAUUAUGUGGCUUUCCUUUUGUUUCUGUUUUGCAAGCAUUACCCAGUUUUUUGCUGUCUUAUUCCUUGCUAUUUUCCCUUUUGUUCCAAUAACUUGUGAUGG
rnacentral:misc_RNA from 1 species